rnacentral:sRNA from 1 species
AAAUGAGUUUUUAACUUUCAGAUUUAGGCCUAUUUUAUAUGGACCACUGGAUUUAUAAAUGAGAAACACUUACAAUGUAAGCUGUGAUGUAGAAUGAAGCAAUAAAGAGGACUAUGGCAAUGGAUUUUAAAACUUGGAUGACAAGACUACUAAAGAUUCUGAUUGUUUGGCUGUCUUCUUACAGCACCUACGCUAUGACUAGCGCCAACGCAUUAGUUUUGAGGUUUGAAGCCAACCACACGUUGUCAGCACCUCUCUACAUCAAUUUCAGUCAAGAAAUAUUAAAACGUUUCCUACUUUGCCUAUGUGACGAAUCAGUAGAAAAAUGUACCGCAGUAACCAGCAAUAUGAAUGAAAACAAUUCGACCAAAGUAUUUACUAGUGCCUCUACA